UCAGGAUUUUCCAAGGACUGAGGUGAGACUGACUGGUCUUUAGUCCCCUUGAGCCUCCCUUUUCCCUUUCUUAAAUAUGGGCACUAUGUUUGCCCUUUUCCAAUCAUCUGGGACCUCUCCUGUUUGUCAUGAGUUUUUAAGUGUAACAGCUGCAAAGGCUUGCUUGGCUGCAAGCUGAGUGGGUGAGCUGUGCCUAAGAACUUUGCAAGAAAGGCUGCAAAACGUUUGCAGAGGGUGCAAUAGCUUUUCCAAAUGUAGAUGCAUGCUUUUUACUGGAGGAUUUGAACUGUAACCUGAGCCCCCAUUGCAAGCCCCGGGCUCUGAUUGGCUACUAUGGAGCCAUAAAGCUGAGGGAAUGAAAAGCUGCUGGAGAGCUAUGCGAGCCUGGAGAAAGGGGUGGAGACUGAGACCCUCCUUCUCUGCAGAGAGACGGGAGCUGAGGUUUACUGGGGAGCAGACUGAAGGACAGAGGAGAUCCUGAGUCAUAGCAGAUGAAGUUGAUUCCCCACCCAUUUUGGAGUUGUGCAGUCAGGGACACAGUUGUUGUCUAAAUGGAGACUGACCAAAUGCCAGUCCAAUGUAAAACACGAUGGUAAACUAUGCUCGGAGUGUGAGGGAGCCAUGAUGAGCGCGUGAUUAAAUAGCCUCAGCAAGUCAGGGGUUACAUGAGACAUAUGACCACACGGCCGACAGUCACAGCCUCCUGACUGAAAGUCAGCAGAUACAUGGGGCACAUUUUGAUUGGCUCUGGAGCUUAUAAAAAGGGGCAGUACGCAGGCACCAGGGGGAUCCACGCGCCAGUUUGGAGAGGCCUGAUCACCCUUUCCAGGAUCCUGCAUCCCCGAUAUCCUUCCCCCUUGGACACCCCCACUCGAACAUAUCACUCGACCGUACCACUCGAACAUACUGAGCUCACCUGUUGUUGUUGUUGUUCCUGUCAUUGUCCGUGCUGUUGUUGUUGCUUGCAACUGUAACGUUACAAACAGCUGUUAAAAAGUUUUCCUGCAUAAACUGUAAGUAAAGCUUCAAGUUAUUACAUCAUUUCAA